UGAGACAGGUUAGUUUUACCCUA
rnacentral:ncRNA from 5 species